rnacentral:rRNA from 1 species
GAUGAACGCUGGCGGCGUGCCUAAUACAUGCAAGUCGAGCGAACAGACGAGAGUGCUUGCACUCUCUGACGUUAGCGGCGGACGGGUGAGUAACACGUGGGUAACCUACCUAUAAGACUGGGAUAACUUCGGGAAACCGGAGCUAAUACCGGAUAAUAUUUAGCUUCGCAUGAAGCAAUAGUGAAAGACGGUUCUGCUGUCACUUAUAGAUGGACCCGCGGUGUAUUAGCUAGUUGGUGAGGUAACGGCUCACCAAGGCAACGAUACAUAGCCGACCUGAGAGGGUGAUCGGCCACACUGGGACUGAGACACGGCCCAGACUCCUACGGGAGGCAGCAGUAGGGAAUCUUCCGCAAUGGACGAAAGUUUGACGGAGCAAUGCCGCGUGAGUGAAGAAGGUUUUCGGAUCGUAAAACUCUGUUGUAAGGGAAGAACAAGUACGUUAGUAACUGAACGUACCUUGACGGUACCUUACCAGGAAGCCACGGCUAACUACGUG